rnacentral:tRNA from 1 species
CCGCCAUUAGCUCAUCGGGAUAGAGCGCCAGCCUUCGAAGCUGGCUGUGCGGGGUUCAAGUCCCCGAUGGCGGUCCA